rnacentral:rRNA from 1 species
GACGAACGCUGGCGGCGUGCUUAACACAUGCAAGUCGAACGGAAAGGCCCUGCUUUUGUGGGGUGCUCGAGUGGCGAACGGGUGAGUAACACGUUAGUAUCCUCCCCUUUACUUUGGGAUAACUUCAGGAAACUGGGGAUAAUACCGGAUAGGAGCUCCUGCUGCAUGGUGGGGGGUGGAAAGUUUCGGCGGUUGGGGAUGGACUCGCGGCUUAUCAGCUUGUUGGUGGGGUAGUGGCUCACCAAGGCUUUGACGGGUAGCCGGCCUGAGAGGGUGACCGGCCACAUUGGGACUGAGAUACGGCCCAGACUCCUACGGGAGGCAGCAGUGGGGAAUAUUGCACAAUGGGCGGAAGCCUGAUGCAGCAACGCCGCGUGCGGGAUGACGGCCUUCGGGUUGUAAACCGCUUUCGCCUGUGACGAAGCGUGAGUGACGGUAAUGGGUAAAGAAGCACCGGCUAACUACGUG